rnacentral:snRNA from 1 species
GUCCCUUCGGGGACAUCCGAUAAAAUUGAAACGAUACAGAGAAGAUUAGCAUGGCACCUGCGC